rnacentral:rRNA from 1 species
AGGACGAACGCUGGCGGCGUGCUUAACACAUGCAAGUCGAACGGAAAGGCCCUGCUUUUGUGGGGUGCUCGAGUGGCGAACGGGUGAGUAACACGUGAGUAACCUGCCCUUGACUUUGGGAUAACUUCAGGAAACUGGGGCUAAAUACCGGAUAGGAGCUCCUGCUGCAUGGUGGGGGUUGGAAAGUUUCGGCGGUUGGGGAUGGACUCGCGGCUUAUCAGCUUGUGGUGGGUAUGGCUUACCAAGGCUUUGACGGGUAGCCGGCCUGAGAGGGUGACCGGCCACAUUGGGACUGAGAUACGGCCCAGACUCCUACGGGAGGCAGCAGUGGGAAUAUUGCACAAUGGGCGGAAGCUGAUGCAGCAACGCGCGUGCGGGAUGACGGCCUGGUGUAACGCGUUACGCUCGUGACGAAGCGUGAGUGACGGUAAGUAGGUAAAGAAGACGACCGCUAACUAACGUAGCCACGCAGCCGC